rnacentral:rRNA from 1 species
AACCAAUAAAUUAAGUUAUAUUAUUCACGGUAAAAAGAUAGUUAAAUACUUAAAUAAAUGGGCUUUAGAACAAUUCAUAAAAAAGUGAAAUUUGCAUAUGAACCUUAAAUUUAAUAACAGCUUAAUUAUUGAAUCUAUGAAAGUCUAGAGGGAAACUGGGAUUAGAUACCCCAUUAUUCUUGAUUAUAAAUAAUUAGAAUUUACCAGAGUAGUAUGAAUAAAAUAUUUAAAACUCAAAGAACUUGGCGGUGUCUUAGACCAUUUAGGGGAACCUGUCUUAUAAUCGAUAAUCCACGCUAUACCUGACCUUUUAUUGCAUCUCAGCUUGUAUACCGUUGUCGUCAGGUAACUUUUAAGAAAUUAUAAGUUAGCUAUUAAUAAAACUAAAUUAAAACGUCAAAUCAAGGUGCAGCUAAUAAAAAGGAAAAGAUGGGUUACAAUUAAUACUUAUAAUAACGAAAGAUUUUUAGAACUAAAAAUCAUGAAGGAGGACUUAAAAGUAAAAUAAAUUACAUAAACAUUUUGAAUAAGGCUCUGGGAUGUGC